rnacentral:rRNA from 1 species
AGAGUUUGAUCCUGGCUCAGGAUGAACGCUGGCGGCGUGCCUAAUACAUGCAAGUCGAGCGAACGGACGAGAAGCUUGCUUCUCUGAUGUUAGCGGCGGACGGGUGAGUAACACGUGGAUACCUACCUAUAAGACUGGGAUAACUUCGGGAACCGGAGCUAAUACCGGAUAAUAUUUGAACCGCAUGGUUCAAAAGUGAAAGACGGUCUUGCUGUCACUUAUAGAUGGAUCCGCGCUGCAUUAGCUAGUUGGUAAGGUAACGGCUUACCAAGGCAACGAUGCAUAGCCGACCUGAGAGGGUGAUCGGCCACACUGGAACUGAGACACGGUCCAGACUCCUACGGGAGGCAGCAGUAGGGAAUCUUCCGCAAUGGGCGAAAGCCUGACGGAGCAACGCCGCGUGAGUGAUGAAGGUCUUCGGAUCGUAAACUCUGUUAUUAGGGAAGAACAUAUGUGUAAGUAACUGUGCACAUCUUGACGGUACCUAAUCAGAAAGCCACGGCUAACUACGUGCCAGCAGCCGCGGUAAUACGUAGGUGGCAAGCGUUAUCCGGAAUUAUUGGGCGUAAAGCGCGCGUAGGCGGUUUUUUAAGUCUGAUGUGAAAGCCCACGGCUCAACCGUGGAGGGUCAUUGGAAACUGGAAACUUGAGUGCAGAAGAGGAAAGUGGAAUUCCAUGUGUAGCGGUGAAAUGCGCAGAGAUAUGGAGGAACACCAGUGGCGAAGGCGACUUUCUGGUCUGUAACUGACGCUGAUGUGCGAAAGCGUGGGGAUCAAACAGGAUUAGAUACCCUGGUAGUCCACGCCGUAAACGAUGAGUGCUAAGUGUUAGGGGGUUUCCGCCCCUUAGUGCUGCAGCUAACGCAUUAAGCACUCCGCCUGGGGAGUACGACGCAAGGUUGAAACUCAAAGGAAUUGACGGGGACCCGCACAAGCGGUGGAGCAUGUGGUUUAAUUCGAAGCAACGCGAAGAACCUUACCAAAUCUUGACAUCCUUUGACAACUCUAGAGAUAGAGCCUUCCCCUUCGGGGGACAAAGUGACAGGUGUGCAUGGUUGUCGUCAGCUCGUGUCGUGAGAUGUUGGGUUAGUCCGCAACGAGCGCAACCCUUAAGCUUAGUUGCCAUCAUUAAGUUGGGCACUCUAAGUUGACUGCCGGUGACAAACCGGAGGAAGGUGGGGAUGACGUCAAAUCAUCAUGCCCUUAUGAUUUGGGCUACACACGUGCUACAAUGGACAAUACAAAGGGCAGCGAAACGCGAGGUCAAGCAAAUCCCAUAAAGUUGUUCUCAGUUCGGAUUGUAGUCUGCAACUCGACUACAUGAAGCUGGAAUCGCUAGUAAUCGUAGAUCAGCAUGCUACGGUGAAUACGUUCCCGGGUCUUGUACACACCGCCCGUCACACCACGAGAGUUUGUAAACCCGAAGCCGGUGGAGUAACCUUUUAGGAGCUAGCCGUCGAAGGUGGGACAAAUGAUUGGGGUGAAGUCGUAACAAGGUAGCCGUAUCGGAAGGUGCGGCUGGAUCACCU